CCUACGGGAGGCAGCAGUGAGGAAUAUUGGUCAAUGGGCGGGAGCCUGAACCAGCCAAGCCGCGUGCAGGAAGACGGCGCUAAGCGUUGUAAACUUCUUUUGUCGGGGAACAAAGGGCGCCACGUGUGGCGUUGUGAGUGUACCCGAAGAAAAAGCACCGGCUAAUUCCGUGCCAGCAGCCGCGGUAAUACGGAGGAUGCGAGCGUUAUCCGGAUUUAUUGGGUUUAAAGGGUGCGUAGGCGGUCGGGAAAGCCGGCGGUAAAAGCCCGGGGCUCAACCCCGGCCAGCCGUGGAAACUGGCGUACUAGAGUCGGCGAGAGGCACGCGGAAUGCGCGGUGUAGCGGUGAAAUGCAUAGAUAUGGCGAAGAACUCCGAUUGCGAAGGCAGCGUACCGGCGCCGAACUGACGCUGAGGCACGAAAGCGUGGGUAUCGAACAGGAUUAGAUACCCUUGUAGUC
rnacentral:rRNA from 1 species